rnacentral:lncRNA from 1 species
CUUUGCUCUGCAUUAGAAUUAGUAGUUUAUAUGUAUUUUCUCUCCUUUUCUAACUAUCAGGAUCAUUGUGCUUCGUUCAGCAUUCAACUUCUAAUAUUUAGAGCUAGCGUAACCAUGGAAAGAUAUCGUUACAUAUGACAAUGCACAUACGAUAAUAGAUUGACUCGAGAUUUCAUCAAAUUUUAUUUUACGGUUCGAAAGGAAACCUGCCGGCUGCUGCUGUCAUCUUUCAUUGUUCAAGUGGCCACAUGCCUUUCUUCUAAUUUAGCUAUCAACUGUUUGCUCGGGCAAUUUUCUUGAUGUGAUUUCUCCUUUUCGUUCAGUUACUCACCAAACAUCAAAGAAAUCAAGGUCUUGGACAGGAAGAAAGUCAGGAGAGCUAAGCUGUAUUACCUGAGGGACAGGAUGAACGCACUUAAAAGAUGAGGAUUUCAACUUGUUUCUAGGAUUUCUUUUUGCCGCGCGGAUCAGCAUGGUUUCUCAAGAUGCAAUCACAUUGUUUGGUGUUCCAUCUUUGAAAAAAAUCAUAGUUUGGGGUUGUCAGUUGCCAUGCUCCGAUCUUCUUUCUUUUGAUUUGAUGCGCUGUAACAUUAGUGCGAAAAUUCAUGUGCUCAGGUCUAUUACGUUACUUUCCCAAUCUUUUUUUAGUAUGUGCGUCUGACAUGAACAAGCUGGAACACUUUACUCAUCAAAGCGAAACUAUUGUAUGAUGAUUCAUGCUAUCCGGUUUUAGAUGUCA